rnacentral:rRNA from 1 species
GACGAACGCUGGCGGCGUGCUUAACACAUGCAAGUCGAACGGAAAGGCCCUGCUUUUGUGGGGUGCUCGAGUGGCGAACGGGUGAGUAACACGUGAGUAACCUGCCCUUGACUUUGGGAUAACUUCAGGAAACUGGGGCUAAUACCGGAUAGGAGCUCCUGCUGCAUGGUGGGGGUUGGAAAGUUUCGGCGGUUGGGGAUGGACUCGCGGCUUAUCAGCUUGUUGGUGGGGUAGUGGCUUACCAAGGCUUUGACGGGUAGCCGGCCUGAGAGGGUGACCGGCCAAAUGGGGACUGAGAUACGGCCCAGACUCCUACGGGAGGCAGGAGGGGGGAAUAUUGCACAAGGGGCGGAAGCCUGAUGCAGCAACGCCGCGGGGGGGAUGACGGCCUUCGGGUUGUAAACCGCUUUCGCCUUUGACGAAGCGGGGGUGACGGUAAUGGGUAAAGAAGCACCGGCUAACUACGU